rnacentral:lncRNA from 1 species
AUUUUGAAGAAAAAGAAUAAGGAGCAUGUUGGUACAAGGCUCCAGAGCUGCAAGUUGAUCCUGGGUGGUCACUCUUUGCUUGGAGGUUCAGGAACAGCCUCCAGAUUAGAAGAGGAGGAGAUGGAUCUUGGUGCAGCUCUCCAGGACUUUCCAUCACAGAGAAGGUCCACCCAGAUGCAGGCUCCCACCAGGGCUGUGCAGGUGCUCUCCUCUCCCC